UUUCAGCUCAGUUCUGGAAGAGUCCUUGGGAUGGGAAGUCUUUCUCCAGUAAAUAAAUACACAUAGAGACAGAAAGAAAAACUUUGGAACUUUCCAAGACAUUUCCAGCCCAGGAGAUCCGGUCUCGGAAUGUGCCUGCGGUAGUCGGGUACUGGA